UGUUGGGUUUUUCUCUGUAUUUAUUAUUGUGCUAUCUACUGUACAAUAUAAAGCGCCUUGAGGCGACUUUUGUUGUGAUUUGGCGCUAUAUAAAUAAAAUUGAAUUGAAUUGAAUUGAAUACUAUAACAUAACAGAUAUACUGUGAUGUUGCAGACAUAGUAUGUUUUUGCACUACUCAUUUGUAGUGAAAAAAAUUAGCAAUAUAAAUUACAGGUCUGUGAUAGUGUAUAAAUUUGCAGUGAAAAAAAAAAUGUUGAACAAGGUGGGAUUGAACCCACGACCUUUGAGCUGCAGAGCCGUGUCAUUACUAAUUGCGCCACCUGGAAAGGGGGCGGACGGCUGAAAGACAGACACUUGACCAGCAGUUGCUGAAAACAACUGAAAAAGCAGAAUUAUCUGCUAAAUAAGAGGUGUAGACGCGCUUGAUGGAGAUGGCUUUAUGUGUAAGGGUACACUGAAGAGUGUCAAGAAAGGAGAGUGCAUGCAAGCAGGGAAGAUGUGUAGCAACUGUCACAGGUAGGACUCGAACCUCUGCCACCGGGUCUCACAGCAGCUGCUCAACCAACACGUUCUCACUCCCAACUCGUCAAAUGUGUGACGCAUGGUCAGGCUCCCUCUGCUUCACUUAUCGACGCGCAGGGUACCCCCCUCGCGUCGAGAAUUGACGUGCAGGGUCCUCCUAUUGAAUACUAUAGAGCUCCCUAAAUGUUGUUUAUUGACGACAAGAGAUUGCCGGAAGAGCCUGUUGUCCGUAUAUUUAUACAUUUCCGAAAUCACAUUGUAGUGACGUGUACUGAACACAAUAUAUUAUAUAAUGUAAACAACUACCUGAGAAACAGCAGAUACAGCAGCUAAAUUAAUUAUAGGCUAUUACUUUUGUAUGGUUUAUUGCAUUUAUGGAGGGAGAGGUGUAUGCUGGGUAAUGGCACAGUUGGCGACACGGUGACUUUAUUCACCCGCUUCGGCUGUUAUCAGUCCAUACAAUGGGCGUUAUUAGCAGAAAUCAGUCCCAUAGAUAUGGGCCAUCUCCACCUGCUAGAUUGUUCAGAAGGUUGUUAUCAUCCAUCCAGAUGGAGGAUCAGUAACAGGAGCGUGGGAAGACUCCAGAAUCCACUCUGGCUGGAAUCCGGUGGAUACAGCAGUGUUACAGGUAUAGUACGUGAUAUUAAGGGCAGGCGGUCAACAUUGGGGGAAGAAAAGAAGCAGACGUACUUCCAAGAGGGAGCUGCAGUGAGGACACAGCCUGGUCACUGAGGUCAGAGGAGGCGCUGAAAGGUUUCCCUAAUAGUUCCUGGUGAAUCAAAGCAGGACCAUAAAGGUUGCUGGACUGCAUGAUGGCCUUACCCCUGAGAGGUCAUCCUGUUAAAGGAGGAAUCAGUUAGAAGCUGUUUUUAAAGUAGCUGAGCAGAUUUCAUCUCAACAGACAAAGCCGAUGGCAGAAGAUGUUUGGAGAAGAACUUCAGGCCGUGUACUGAAAAGUAGAUCAAAGCAGCUCGUGCUCUUUCUGCUUCCAUUUUGAUGGCAAGAAGAAGAAAAAGAAGAAGAAGAAGAAGAAGAAUGCUUCAGCGAAGUGGCGUUCAUGGUCUCAGUGGACAGUCAUGGUCACACACUGCAUGUGGUUUUAUAAGCAAGGUGUCUGUUCACCACAACAAUGGAGAUGUGUAAUAUCAGUGCAGCUACGGUUUGUUCUUGAACAUCAGUUCUGUUUUAUACUUUGACCACUUAGACCAAAAAAGUGUUGUUUUCAGAUUCUUUCUUAUAAAUCUGUAAAGCACCUGCUCAUUUUUUAUUACAAUUAGUUUCACAUAAAUGUUAGUGUUUCCUUUAUGAUCUUUUAAUGCUUACACUACACUGUGCACAUCUACAUUAGAGACAUUUCUGUUACCUAUGUAUGAGACUGGGCUGCUUGACUACGAUUUGGAAAUGGAUGCAAAAUCACACGGAUCGUGCUAAUGUUUGUUUUUUAAUAUGAUGGACUGAACACAGGAGGUAUCUGACUAAGCAAAGAUUAGUCCGAUCCCAUUUCUACCUGUCUCUACUGUUUCAACAUUUCACUGAAGUUUGCUCAACUGUACCUGUCAGGAUAUAUAUUUAUUCCAGCUCUCAUAGGGCAAAGGAAUGACUCAGACUUGUCAAAUGUUCUUUGACUUGAUACACAAUAUGAAGUUCACAAUUUUCUUACAAAUAAA
ensembl:lncRNA